GCAGGGGAUUGCUCUGAUUUCCUGCUGCUGGAGAAAAGCCAUGGCUGGGCUGAGCUGUGCAGAGUUCCCAGCUAACAGCAGCGAGCAGAGCAGAAUGGGAGCUGUGAGAUGAGACACAGGAGGGUUCAAAGGGCAGCACAAAACCUCCCCCAGCUGAAAACCAUCCAGCAUUUUCUCUCUCUGUUAGCACUACGUUGCUCAUGGUUUGACUUUGUGCUGUUUCCCAGCAUUGCUUUAGGACAACGAGCUCAGCUGGGACCAGAGGAGGUGACACAGGUUUGCUGUGGCUUUCAGCACAGAGCCUUUCCAAGUGAAAUGACUUUAACAAAUAAAAAGAAAUGGACAUUGGUUUCUGAGCCAGAGGUGAUACCCUUUGUCCAGG